UCCUACAUGGACCUAGAUAAUUUGUGCC
rnacentral:sRNA from 1 species